GCUUCCAUAGCAUAGUGGUAGUGCGUUCGCUUCGUAAGCGAAAGGUCAUGAGUAUAAUCCUGGUUGGUAGUU
rfam:Ipomoea nil DNA, scaffold: scaffold2480, cultivar: Tokyo-kokei standard.